GACAGAGGAUGCAAGCGUUAUCCGGAAUGAUUGGGCGUAAAGCGUCUGUAGGUGGCUUUUCAAGUCCGCCGUCAAAUCCCAGGGCUCAACCCUGGACAGGCGGUGGAAACUACCAAGCUGGAGUACGGUAGGGGCAGGAGGGAAUUUCCGGUGGAGCGGUGAAAUGCGUAGAGAUCGGAAAGAACACCAAUGGCGAAAGCACUCUGCUGGGCCGACACUGACGCUGAGGCGCGAAAGCCAGGGGAGCAAACGGG
rnacentral:rRNA from 1 species